rnacentral:lncRNA from 1 species
GCUGCUAUUGCCUCCUGUGGCUGCUGAAGCCUAGUCACACCUGGCUUGACUGCUCCUGCAGCUACCACACCCCCAAGCUUUCUGUGGCUUCUGCUAACCUGCUCCUGUUUUAGCUGUCCAUAGCUCAAAAUCCUUCAGAGGCAAACAAGAACAGAGGAUCAAGAGAACACCCUGGGUGAAGAGACAAUAAUGGUCUUCAUCAGAGUCUCCAAUAAAGGAAGAAGAAAUUUAGGGUGAUGAUUUUGCUUUGACAAAGGAGCAAGGUGGCACAGAGAGAGAUAGUUGCAUAUGGAAUCAUAAAGACAAGUUUCAUUUGGGCUCCAGACAUUCAUUAGUUGUGUGACACUGGAAGAACUACUAAAAUACUCAGCUUCAGUUUUGUCAUCUGGAAAAUAGGGAUAAUGUUCACAGUUACCUUACAGAGUUGUUAUGAGGAUCAAAUGAGAUAAAAGGCAAAUCACUUUGCAAGCAUUAAAACUCAAUAUAAAUGAUAUUAUUUAUAUAAAUGUUGCAU